rnacentral:rRNA from 1 species
UACGUAGGGGGCAAGCGUUGUCCGGAAUCAUUGGGCGUAAAGAGCGUGUAGGCGGCCUGGUAAGUCCGCUGUGAAAGUCCAGGGCUCAACCCUGGAAUGCCGGUGGAAACUGUCAGGCUCGAGUCCGGAAGAGGCGAGUGGAAUUCCUGGUGUAGCGGUGAAAUGCGUAGAGAUCCGGAGGAACACCGGUGGCGAAGGCGGCUUCCUGGACCGACACUGACGCUGAGGCGCGAAAGCUAGGGGAGCAAACGGG